UCUUGUGUGCUGAUAAAUAAAGAUCCAAUUAAAGCGAGGUCGUCACUCAACGAUGUUGAUUGGAUCAGCACUUGUCGAAGUUGAUUGAGUUUGAAUCGUGGAGAUGAGCUGCUGCUAUCGUUGGAUUCCACUGGAUAGGAUUUCUGAACAACUACAAUUUUUUUUAAGUGGCUCUGCUUAACUAAUAACAAAUGGACGGGCUUUGAUUGAAGGUGGGCUUUGCUUUAACAAAUUAAAAGAUGGUCAAGCCUUGUAACAUGGGUCUUGUAACUAGGCCUGGGUGUGAUUUGUUGUGGGCCUCUUGAAAACUUGGCUGCUCAUCUCUUGAAGUGAACGUGGGCUUGCUCAAACGAGGGCUUGCUCGUAUCUAAGGCACCACUUCAAACUCCUUUCCUUGAGCAGCAAAAAAAUCAGAUCCAGAACCUAGGGCAAAAGGGUUGACGGCGAAACCUCCGACGUCGUCGUUUGACGGCGGAAACCGACGGUGCGACGAUACUAUAUCCAGUGAUUCGAUCUCUUUUAGCAGCCGUCGAAGUCGCAGCCUUGUCGUCGUCUAUCGAUUGAUCGUCGAAGCAGAGUCGUUGAGGUGACCGAUUGACGCAGAGCUCGAGAGGGUGGCGAUGAGAUCGACAGGCUUUGAUACCAGUGUUUGAUCACAGAGAAGAAGAGAAAAGGAAUGGAUUUCGUUGAGGGGGGCUCCGGUAAUGGGAGCUUAGAUUGUGACAUUUUCAUGAUAUGAUACAUACAUUCCAUCAUUAAUGACACAACUCUAUUCAUUUAUCAGAAUGAGUGUGCACUUUUCUGAUCAAAGAUCUCUAUUGCAUUUAUCUCAGAGGAAUCAGAAAAUUUGCUAGAAAAUGCUUUUACCUAGGAAGCAGACUCUGAAUAUAUAUGUCUAGGAUGUCCUUAUUUUUGAAGUUGUAUUGUUUAAGAUCUGUGUAUUUGAUUGUUUCAUGUUGUGUUGAUUUUGUAGUGGUGAUUUUGGGUAGUGGUGAUUUUGGACACUGAGUAUAAAUCAAAUCGGUUUUUUAAGCAAUGUGAACGUGUGAUGAUGUAUACAACGUGUUGUUCGAUCGAUUGUUCAUGUCGAUGAGAAGUCCACUCUCAAUUUUCUAUUUUUUUAAAAAUGUAUAGCUAUUUAUACUGAAGUGUAGCAUCUUUUUGUGAAAGUAUAACUCUUUAUUGCAAAGUAUAGCUCUUUACUCUUUA